GGUAUAAUUCCAUACUUAAAUAUGGUGUUGCUUGCUGUUUUUAAAAAUCAAGCCUUUUUUGUGCCCGGGGAAGAAAACGUGUGAUGCCGCGGUCAGAAAAACUGGUGCCUGGGGAGGCAAAUUUUUUUUGUUGCCAAAUGC